rnacentral:rRNA from 1 species
CCAAUAGCGUAUAUUAAAGUUGUUGCAGUUAAAAAGCUCGUAGUUGAAUUUCGGGGUUCAUCCGUUGGUCGGGCUUUUUGGUCUGUACUGGCGUGAUGGAUUCCUACCUUCUGAAUAACCGGCAUGUCAUUAAUUUGGUGCGCCGGGGAAGCAGGACUGUUACCUUGAAAAAAUUAGAGUGCUUAAAGCAGGCUAUCGCCUGAAUACAUUAGCAUGGAGUAAUGAAAUAGGACGGCAUGGUUCUAUUUUGUUGGUUUCUAGGAUCACCGUAAUGAUUAAUAGGGAUAGUUGGGGGCAUUAGUAUUCAAUUGUCAGAGGUGAAAUUCUUGGAUCUAUUGAAGACUAACUUCUGCGAAAGCAUUUGCCAAGGAUGUUUUCAUUAAUCAAGAACGAAAGUUAGGGGAUCGAAGACGAUCAGAUACCGUCGUAGUCUUAACCAUAAACUAUGCCGACUAGGGAUCGGACGAUGUUAAUUUUUUAAUGACUCGUUCGGCGCCUUACG